rnacentral:rRNA from 1 species
UGGCGGCAUGCCUAACACAUGCAAGUCGAACGAGACCUUCGGGUCUAGUGGCGCACGGGUGCGUAACGCGUGGGAAUCUGCCCUUAGGUUCGGAAUAACUUCGGGAAACUGAAGCUAAUACCGGAUGAUGACGUAAGUCCAAAGAUUUAUCGCCUAAGGAUGAGCCCGCGUUGGAUUAGCUAGUUGGUGAGGUAAAGGCUCACCAAGGCGACGAUCCAUAGCUGGUCUGAGAGGAUGAUCAGCCACACUGGGACUGAGACACGGCCCAGACUCCUACGGGAGGCAGCAGUGGGGAAUAUUGGACAAUGGGCGAAAGCCUGAUCCAGCAAUGCCGCGUGAGUGAUGAAGGCCUUAGGGUUGUAAAGCUCUUUUACCCGGGAUGAUAAUGACAGUACCGGGAGAAUAAGCUCCGGCUAACUCCGUG